GACGAACGCUGGCGGCGUGCUUAACACAUGCAAGUCGAACGGAGUUACGUAUGAAGUAUUUCGGUACGGACUAUGUAACUUAGUGGCGAACGGGUGAGUAACACGUGGGCAACCUGCCCUUAACCGGGGGAUAACAUUGUGAAAACAGUGCUAAUACCGCAUAACAGAGUAUCGGGCAUCCGAUAUUUUUAAAAGGAGCAAUCCGGUUUAGGAUGGGCCCGCGUCCAAUUAGCUAGUUGGUGAGGUAACGGCUCACCAAGGCUACGAUUGGUAGCCGAACUGAGAGGUUGAUCGGCCACAUUGGGACUGAGACACGGCCCAGACUCCUACGGGAGGCAGCAGUGGGGAAUCUUGGGCAAUGGGCGAAAGCCUGACCCAGCGACGCCGCGUUGGGGAUGAAGCCCUUCGGGGCGUAAACCCAUGUUGUAGGGGACGAAGAAAGUGACGGUACCCUACGAGAAAGCCCCGGCCAACUACGUG
rnacentral:rRNA from 1 species